AAUGUUUUCAGGGGGGUGUCAUAGCCCCGGGUUUGGCCGCCCCAGCCCCGCCUUCCCCGCCCCGGGGAGCCCGCCCCCUGCCCCGCGUCCCUGCCGACAGAGUUAGCACGACAUCAGUAUGAGCUGGUCACCUUCCCUGACAACGCAGACAUGUGGGGCCUGGGAAAUGAAAGAGCGCCUUGGGACAGGGGGAUUUGGAAAUGUCAUCCGAUGGCACAAUCAGGUAGGCCCUCUGUGCAGCUUGGGGAGGGGCGGGGAGCCAGGCCCCCUCCUCACUGCCUCCACUUUCUCUGAUCCUGCUGGGCCAAGGGCUCACCUUUGGCUUUGGUCAUCUUGGGACAGUGAAUAGGGGGACUGGGAAGAGGGCUUCAGGACUUCUGAGCUGACUCCAGGUUAGUGGUCUCCAUGCUUUAUUGACUAUGUCACCUAAAUAAAUAGUAAAAUAAA
rnacentral:lncRNA from 1 species